CCGCGCUGUCGCGUUGGGAAGCGGGGUAGGGAAGGAGGCGGUGGCCGCCGCCAUGUUGAUGGCGUGGGACGCUUAGCUCUGGAGGAGCGGUCGGGGAGCCGGGUUAAGAUGUCGGAAAAGGGGGAAGGGGGGGAGUCCUGUCUUGGUUUAAGGGGAAAGGAAGAGCUCGUGCGAGCGGAUGACAAAGAACGGGGAGGCUGAGGAAUAGCCGGAGGGGCGCGGCGGGGAGGAGAGGGGUGCCCUGAAGGACACGGCUGAUUGUCACUCGGUGUCUGCGGGCUCUGGCUGAGGCAGCGCCUCUCUGUGGUGGGAGCGUGGCCGUGGGGUGGGAGUCUGUCCUGGGGCCUGGAGGGGCCCUCAGGGCUGCGGGGGGUGCGUGGCAGGAGCGGCAGCGUGGCGGUGAAGCGGUGGCCGGUCACGGCUGCCGGGGCGGGCGGGCGGUGCUGUCGCGAACGGGGAGGCCGCUCUGUGGCGCAGGAGCCGCGGCGGGCACGGUGGCUUUUGGGGCUGUGACCCCCGCGCCUUCCGGGGAGAGGGGCCCCUGUACCGGCCACGGUGCUUGGCCCUUGGACCCAAGUACGGACUGUGGGUUAAGAGCAGGGCUGGCCUUGGUCGGGCGGCUGCCCGCAGGGAGCAGGUUGGAACGUGCCCUUGUCACACGGCAGGUGACAGCCUGCGCUUCCCUGGUUUGAGGGGGUUUUUAAGGGUUCUGGCUCUGUCCGAUGCCUGAUAAUUGCACUAAUGGUGUCUGGUUGUCAGAGACAUACGGCUUGGUGUGACCAGCAGGAGGAGCUUUGCUUCCUUUUAAAGUCCUUAGUAUGUCUGGAAGAGGGUAGGUUUAGAUUAAAGGCAAAAAUUCUUUACUGUGAGGGUGGUGAGGCACCAUCACAAGUUGCCUGGAGAAGCUGUGGAUGCCCCAUCCUUGGAAAUGUUCAAGGCCAGGCUGGAUGGGAUAUUGGGCAGCCUGAUCUACUGGAAGGUGUCCCUCUGCCUCUGCCCAUGGCAGGAGAGGGUUACAACCAGAUGGUCUUUGAGGUCACUUCCAACCCAAAUGUAUAAUUCAAUGUCCAUAGACACGUAAAUCAAGUUUGAAAAAGCUGAGAGGGCAGAUGAGAUGGUGUAAAACAUCUCAGCAUUGUAUGGGAGCAGCCAAGCUGACUUGUUUCCCCACUGUUUUGUCUGUGCUUGCUGUCUCACAUUGGCAUGGCUUAGCCAGCUGACUAGGUGCUUGGUUUCAGCCAUCUGGCUGACAUGCAAGGGGUAGGCUGGAAUUUUGAGAAGUGCUUUUAGACUUCCUUGUAGUGAGCAUUGUCCCUGCUUGUGCUACUCUUUUGUGCUGGGGAAUGGGAAAUAUGUGUUCACCAUAUGAGAGAGUAAUCAAAGCUUUGUGAGCCUUAAUGGGACUGGAGUUCCCUGAAACUGGGUAUGAAAGCGGGAAGAUGGUCGAAGUGUUGCAUGGCUUGUGAAAUAAUACCAUUUCUAGUUACAGCUGAUUCCUGUGAAAUAAAGCACUUCAUUAUGCCAAGAGGAUACUUAAUUGGAAAGAGUCCUGAAGAGUUUUGCAGGCUUGCUUGAAGUCUUGGCUAAAGUCCAGUAGUGGUACAGCUCAGGUAAAAUGGAGUCACAAGGGUUUAUUUCAUCCUUUGGCUCCUCCUGGAGGUAAGUACAAGGCAUUUGCUCAGGGUAUUGCUGCCCAAUAACUACACAGGUGGUGUGUUUGCCAAAGGAUACACAAGUGCUGGAGGAAGGAUGUUGUGAGAUGUUCUGUGGUGCAGAUACUUCACCUGAACAUUGCGGCCUUUCAAGAUUUGCUGGUCCUACAGCAAUGUAUGCUAUGCUUUUAUCACUUUAGGUGCAGCUCCCUCUAGUUAAAGAGGCUGAACCAGUUGCAUGCCAUCCUGCAAAAGGUCCAGUCUUCUAAGUGUGCUUCUCCUCACUGGCAGGUUCUCCUGUUUUAUCAUACUCCUCACUGAAGAAAAGGAAUGGCGGGGGUGUAAUGCUCUUUUAAUAAAAUUUGUAGCAUCAAUAGUUCUAUAUAUCUGGAGAAUUCUGAAUUACAAGUACAGCCCUUUUUAUUUCUUUCCUUAUUCUGUUUCUCCUCUAUGCAGAUAUCUUUUGAUUAGGUGAGCUGUGGGUGAAAUUAAGGGCACUGGCGCUUUGAUGACUUCUGUCACAGCUGUUGUCCACUGUAGACUUUAGGCCUAUGCUUUUAUCUCUGCAGUUGAUACCUGCAAAAAGAAGAGUGCUCCAAGAGCAGUCGAGCCAAAAUAGGAUGGACAUGUUCUUCAGCUGAAACAUGGCAGCAGUUCAAUAGCAGUUACACAGCAGGAAAGGGUGUGCAGGCUGCUGCAAGGCCCUGUGUUCUUAAAGAUCUGGUAUCUGAAAGAACUCAGUAGAGAGAAAAGUUGUUGCUUCCACAGCUUCGAACUCACUCAGUUCAUUUAAGCAAACUCAUUUGAAAAGAGAGCUCACCUAAUACUGAAACAGGAAAUUGAUUUUAUUUUAGAUACUGGGGAAGAUAAUCACAAUAUGCAGAAUUUAAAAGUUCUAGUCAGGACUCUGAGAAACUCCAAGUAGCUGAAAGAUAGGAGGCUCCAAGACUCCAGUUGUGGGAAUCUCCCUUUGGAAGGCACACUAGCAGUUGGGAGAACUUGCUAAACACAAGGAGAAUCAAACGUUCUGCAGCUGUUAGCUACACUGAUAACCUGACAUGACCACUAAAGACCACGAGGCUGUAGGCUGACUGCAUUUCUCUUAAAAGGAUAUAUGCCACUACCCAGUUCAGAACCACCCAAACAACUUCAGUUUUUGUCAAACACUCUUAGUUCCUCUAACAGUAGCUUUUCUUGGUCCCCCUAACUGCUGCAGAGCCAGCUGGCUGAUUGUAGCUGUGCACUGAAGAUAAGCCUUCCUCACCCCUGGAUUGCUGGGUAAUAGCACACAAAUAUGGCUCAGAUGGACUCGGGGCUGAGCAUAAAUCUUUUGGCUGCCACUGUUCUGGCUAUAAUAUGUACAGUGGGUGCUCUGAGCACUUCCAUGUGGAACAAGAAACACUUGGAGUGCAUGUUUAGAUGUACUUUCUGUAUGCACUGCCCUCUUCAGCACAAAGCUUGAUAAAAUCCUAUAUUGCAUAAAGCAGGUAGAGGUAUCCCAGAGGUUAUGGUUGGUGUGCACCUGACUCAGUUGCCACUAAUGUGGUGAAGAUCUAUUUUUGUUGUGGUGUGGUAAACCAGAGUUGGUAACUGAUACUGUUUAGCUGAUGGGCUUGUCUGUGCCAGGAGAGCAGUCCAUGAGCUGACAAACAUUGAAGCAUGCAUGGUACUAGCUUUUAGGCCUUUCAACAUCAAAAAAAAAAAAAAAAAGAAAAGGAGGUGGGAGGGGAGAGAACACAGGCUUUUUAAGGGCCAGAUAAAUUCUGAAAUGAAAAGCUCACUAAGAAUAUCUUCAUUGAAAGAAUGCUUUUUGGGAAAUUACCUCCUUUGUCAAGGGCAAUAUGAGCCUUUGGUUAUGGCAAGUGUCCAGCACUGUUCUUUGGCCCUUUCUUUUGCGAGGUUGUAGGGGAAGAGUGGUGGAUGAAGGGAGAGUGAAAGCCAUAACCAGAGGUUAACAUUUAAUUUUAGCAACUAUGUUUAUGUGAAGUGAUGCACCAUUAUUAAUUUUCAAAGCAAGUCCCGCACGUAAAUUGAUGGAAUCCCUGAUCAUGCGUGCAAGUGUCUUUGGGUUCUUCAGCUAUUUGAGUGCAAUGGUGCAAAAUUACAUGUUGCUUCCUAUAUGAUUCAGUUUAAAAUACAAGCUUGGGCAGUGAGUAUCUAAAGAACAGUACUGUAGUCAGAGCAUUCCUCAGUGCACAGAAACCAUUUCCUUUUGGGUAAGUAAUGCUGCACUGAGAAAAAGCAUGCAGCUCCUAGGACAGCAUCAUUUGAUUGUGUUGCCUGUGCUACAGUUCCCUGGGUUUGCUCUCUUCCUUGCCCUGGACUCUUUACCCAAACUUCUAGUAAUUCUGUUUGUUACCACUGGUUUACUCUUCCAUUUUUGGGUAGGGUUUUUUUUACUGUUUAUUUGCAAAUGUCUCUUCCUGGAAAACUGGCAGUGACAGUAAGUAUCUCAGGUUCCUAGCCAAGUUUCCACUCACAUGGUUUCACUUGCUCCAUUCUGUCAAGUUAUUUACAUGUGGUGUCUUAAGGAUGUAAUUUAGUGGAUUGCUAGUGAGGAGCUAACCUACAUGUGUUGGCUGCAGUCCACAUAAGUUACACAAACCUGCUUCCUCAUGAAUUUAGUGGUUACUCUUGCAGCCCUUGGUUUCCUGAUGCACAACUUUAUGAAAAAUAAAAUGUUACACUGCUCUUGCAGAGAUUUAAAGUUGGUCACGCUAGCAUUGCUCACUAUACCUGCUGAGUUGCAGGACCCAGAAUGAUUUCUGAGCCUUGUUCUGCAUGCACAACACCUCACAAGGUGAGAAGGAUAUGUUCUUCAUGUCUUAACAGGUCUGAUGUGCCACAAUACAGGAAAGAUAGCUUAGAGAUGUGUAGUUGAUCGCUUGAGCAACCUUACUCAAUGUAGUCUUAAUCCUCAGGUUCUGGUUUCAUGUGUAUCAGCAUUGUUUUGUUUCUAGUAGAGCCACUUUGGGCUUGCAUUCCCAGGUGGUGUAAUUACUUGAAUUCCCUGCUUUUGAGCUCUUGAAAAAUGCAGUUGCAUGAAGCAGAGGCAGCGGUGGCAUUGGUAGUUGGAGAAGUUUGGUGUUACCUUCUGCCCUUACCUUCCCAUGCUGCAGUAUGCCAUUCCCUUUCACGCUAAUGCAACUACCUGGAGCAGCAUACGGAGCUAUCAGUGUCUUAAUCAGGGUGUUAACACACACUCCCUGCCCUGGGUAUGCUUUUCUGUGGGUCAUUGCAGAUGUCUGGAGGUUUGUAGUUCUGUGGCUUUCUUGAAUUAGGUUUGUGAACUGAUUUAGAGCGUUUUCAACAUGGCAGAAAAACCAGGUGGCUGGGUCCGUGCCAAAGUCCAGAGUUGUUACCUUGUUGCUGAAGUCUCUUGACUCAUUAAAUUAUGCAUCUAAGGAUGCUGUUCAUUUUGUGGGGGAGGAGAAGCGAGUGUCCCUUGUGCACAUGGGUGCUUUUGUUAACCAUGUUUUUCUGUGUUAGGUGUCAUGACCCAGCCUUUUUGUGGUUUUGCUGUGGGUAGCCUGACCAGGCAGCUCAAGCCACCCUGCUGUCUGUAAGCAGCACUAGAGAUUGUUCAAUGUACUCCAGACAAGUCCUUGUGCAAACAGCUGGAGUAAGAUGUGGAACACUUUUCUCCUAAGUUUGGGGAUUUUUUUAUUACUGAGACUACCAAUAUAUUUUCCUUUGAUGGAACUAAUUCUUACAUAUAGGGAGUUGUAUAUUAACUACCCCUGCACACAUAGCCAAAUACAAUUAUAUAUUCAGUGGCAGAGCAGAUCAGCAAAGGAGAGAAUUGGGUACUAAAAUGUUGCUUUUUAUGAUAGGUAAAAAGCUAAUCCUUAUUGUCAUUUUUGCAAUGCUCCUGAUUCCACCGAAGGCUGCUCUGCUAUGAGCUCUUACUAUGCAAUUAUGAUUUCCUUUCCCCGUUCUGAUAAUGGUGAAUGUUGCCCUCUGACAAGGACAAUGAGAUAACAGCUGUUUCAGAGAGACCUGCAGUGGCUUCACUGUACAUGGUCUGCCUCAGUGGAUGUUAGCUAAGAGAGUAAUUACAUCCCCCAAGAGUUAGACUUGAUGCUGUUGACCUUUCUGGAGAAACAAACAUGAAGUAGAGGCACGUGCAAUCCUCACAUGAGCUGGCAGCCAGGUGGGUGCUGUGUGUCACCAGGGAUGACAGGCAGUCACACUUCACUAAUUCACAGCAGUGAGGUGCAUUUGCCCUCCUGAAAAUUCUUGCCCACUGAAAGCUCUCAUCUCUAGGGUUGAUUGUGACUGGAGGAUCUGCAUUCCCAUGCUACCUCCUGGAAACAAGGGGGUGAUGAAAUGGAGUUAAUUUUAGUAGGUCCAAAGAGAAUAAAUGAAUGUUUUUCAUUAUAAAUAUUUAUACAAUAAUUCAUAAGUAUUUUUAUUGUGUAAAUUGUUUCUAAGUACAUAUCUGGAAAUCUAUAUGUAUAUAAAAUGUAUGUAUUUGAAUACA